UGGGAUGUAACUCAGGUUAGAGCACUUGCCUAGUAUGCAUGAGGUCCUGGGUUCAAUCACCAGCACCGCAA
rnacentral:tRNA from 1 species